CUGAAGAUGAUACGCAAAACAUACGACGUAUGGAGUGUACAUUUUUUCAUUUAAAUAUACGAUAUGUAUGCAAAAUGAUGAUUUUAUUAUUGUUUCGUUCAGCACCGUAGGACGAUGCAUUGUUAAAAAUUUAGAUUGCCGUAGAUUCACGAAUCUGAACCUACUUUGCUGUCCGAUUGUGAUUGUUUGCAUUUUUAUUUGAGCUGGUUCCAGGCACGUCGGUAAUUUGAUUAAUCAUGCCAUUAGAAAGUUUACUACGGUCAAUGGUGCAAUUGCAUUUAGGUCUAACAAAACAAGGCCAUUGGCAAUUGUAUCGAAAUUAGCCGAGCCUACCAUCGGUGUAGAGCAGUUACUUUUAUUACUUGUGUUGUUCGUGACACUGACUCGUUGUGAUAUUGUUGUUUGUGUCUUCGUAGUGAAAAAGAAGUCGCUUAUAGGGUGUGUAGAAAUGUCAGUGAUAUUAAUGUUAUUAUUAGGUAUCACAUGUACGGAUAGAUUGUUGCAUGGGUGCUCACUCUGCGAGUAUAUUCCGACUAAUUUUGAAUCAUCUUCUUAAAUUGGGGACAGAUUCAAUAAUGGUUCCUACAUGUACGUAAUUUAUACACAUACGAUCGGUCACGAAAGUGUACAUACACCUGUGUAAUUUCAAAUAUUUCUAACAAUAUAACAAAAAUUUUGGAAGUCGA